CAGCAGCCGCGGUAAUACAGAGGGUGCGAGCGUUAAUCGGAUUUACUGGGCGUAAAGCGUGCGUAGGCGGCUAAUUGAGUCGGAUGUGAAAUCCCCGAGCUUAACUUGGGAAUUGCAUUCGAUACUGGGAAGCUAGAGUAUGGGAGAGGAUGGUAGAAUUCCAGGUGUAGCGGUGAAAUGCGUAGAGAUCUGGAGGAAUACCGAUGGCGAAGGCAGCCAUCUGGCCUAAUACUGACGCUGAGGUACGAACGCAUGGGGAGCAAACAGGAUUAGAUACCCCUGUAGUCCCUGUCUCUUAUAC
rnacentral:rRNA from 1 species